GGUGUCCACGAACCAGUACCAGCUGAAAAAAAAAAAACUCAGCCCUUCCCCUCUCCAAGCGCGCAUUCCCUCGAUCUGCUCGCCUCCGGUAAAGCGGCCGCCGUUCACCCUCUCUAUCAACGUGCCCUGCUUGAGUUGCUUCCGGCGGUCCGACUCCAUCGCCAGCAGGCCAUCUAGGGUUCGCCGUCUGGUAGGUUCCCUCCACCGGCCGGCCGCCAGGCCCUCCGUCUCUCCGGCAGACGGCACCAAGAAGGCAAGAGCCGCCACCGCACGCACGCAGCCUGUGUAUGUGAAAGACUUUUUUUUUUUGCCCUCUGAUCCGUGAUGGUCCUGGGCAUCAGAGUUCAAAUUAAUACUUAAAUCAAGGUGGAUUCUGUAGCACAGGAGGCUGCAGAGGCGAGCAGGUGAGAGCUGCUGAUUUUAGCAGUUACAAGUUGUUACCUAUCGUUUUUUAUGUGAUUUCGUUCAAAUUUAAGGAUUGACAAAAUUUAAGGAUUGACAAGUCAUUAUAAUUUCGAGUCCAUCAUGAGCUAUUGUUAGGUGAAAAUAACAAAGUGAAAAGGUUCGAGAAAUCAGACUUGGUUUUGGCCUGAAGCUCAACACUAAAAUAUGCCAUCAACUGACACAGUUACUCCAUGAAUGUGCUUGGAUAGUCAACGUAGUUGUACUUUUUAAUCUUUAGAUUGUCAUCUCUACUUGAGAAAAAGGGGAAGUGGCUUAUAGGUCAAAACCACAGAUCCAAUGCUAAGCAUUUAUUAUGUAUACUGCGGUAUAUAAAUUUCUCAAAUUCGGUUGCUGCAUAUUUGGUGUUCUUAUAUAAUGAUAUCCAACUGACAAUGUUAUGCUUACAUUUACUUUAGGAUGUGAGAGUUUGGCACAAAAGUUUGUCCAAUUUAACCGGCAAUGAGCAUCUGCUUUAAUUUGAUUCUGCAUUAAUGAAGUUCGGAAACUGACAUGCCUCUGAGAGACUGAUACUUCUGGGUUGCUGCAUCGGUGUGGGCCGCGACGGCGUGGUGGCAGUCCACGGUGGUGGUGCGGGGCGGUUCGUUGCGACGGUGGGACAUGCUCCGGCGUCUGGCCAUUGGCGAGCUGCUCGUGUGGAUGCCCCUUGGUCCUCUAGCGGCAACAGGAUGUGGUCUUUCCGGCGCCUCGCGUCGUUGGGCGAGUGUCCAGUUCCUACCAGAUGCAGAUCCAGGCCGGGAGCUGUGGUUGGGCGUUGCAGGGUGCGACUUUGGAGAGGUGACGGGUGGUGCCGAUGCAGUCGGGCUGCCUGUUACCGGCAGGGGUGCGGACAUCGACUUGGUCCGCUCCCGCUUCACCUCUUCUCCGACCUGCUGGCUCCCCGAUCGAUCUGGUUGUUUUGGUCGCUGCGGCCUUGUUGCCGGUCGGUGCAUCUCAUGCAGCGAUGGAGGAUCUAUGGUGUGUCUUGUUACCUGGGCGGCGGCCCGGGUGGUAGGUGCUGCGGUGCUCGUGGGCUGACCUUGUGGCUCAGGUGCGGGCGGUUAGCGACCAUGGCCGUGUGGGCGGUGUGGUGGCUGGCGUUUUGACGAUCUGUUGUGGUGAAGACGGAGUUUGCUGCCGGGGUGAAAACCCUGUGGCUUGGCCAGGCCGAUGGAGGCGGCGCCAGUGGACGUCGUCAUCUUCCUGAAGUCUUCGUUGUGGUUACUCCUUUCCCUUUGUCAUGCUCCGGAUGAAAAUCUAGAUCUUUGGAUCGGCCGGUGGCGGCGUUUUGUUCUGUCCUUCUUGAAGGCACUGUCUUGGAGCUCUCAGUUCAUCGUCAUUCAACUUCACCUCUUCGCGGGUUCUCCCGGAAGAGCUCCGGUGGCUCUUUAGCGUCUACUUCAUGUCCUUCGGGGUGUUGUUGUUGUAGGCCUUUGGCACCUAUGUAUCCGGCCUAGGGUGCUUCUUGCUGAACGAGCCGAGUGGAUGUGCUCUUUCCUAAGGCCAUAAUCUGUUCAGGUAGCUGCUCUUUCUAAAGGGACCACAUCUCAUCUGAUUCAAAGAGAUAAGCGCAUGUGGUAGACACCGCAGCAAGUUGAAGAACCAACACUAGCAAGUAGCAACAUGUGAAGAAGAAACAGUAUAUGGCACUCUGAACACUUAACUGUUCAAGGCAUCAUUACAUCCACUCCGAACCGCUGACCUUUCUCGAAUGUCUUAUUUCUCCAUGAAGUUAUGGGGAUAAUACCAUUUCAUUCAUGUACCGACGACGACCUUAUUUGUUAGUAUGCCCAUAGCUGUUUCCUUUUCUUUUUGAAAAACAAGGUAUAUACAGAGCAGAGCAAGAUUAUUUCAUGCAGUUAGCCAUUGGUCUGUCUGAAUGGUGAGCUAUUUCAGAAACAAUGAACAAUGGUAGAGCACACCGUGUCAAACUCUUAGUAUCAUGUUGCUGUUGCCGAAUGCUGAUUGAUUCUUGACAGCAGUGGCCACUUGACCACUUGUACUGGGUGCAUGCGCUGUAGCACGCAA